GGGGCUGCACUGGUUUCGACGUGGGUUCGGAGUCGCUGUGGUGCAUGUCGAGCUGAAUGCGCUCGUUAAUCAGAUUCAAAAAAACUAACUGCAAACGAUCAAUCGUACGCACUCGCCGCUUAAUUGCCGGUGACUUUGCAACAGCACGCCGAUGGGCUGGGCAAAGGGCCGAUGGAGCAAUCCAUCGAUCCUGAGCUGCAAAGAUAAUUACAUCGGCUGGUUCUUGCCCGGGUGCCUUGGGCAAGAACGAGAAAAUAGGGCACUGGCGUCCGGUCUAGCGUGCGACUGCGCGAUUCCGGAAGCGAGAUCAAAACAGAUCGCUAAACAUGUAGAACUGCGCGAUGAAGGCUUGCGGACGGGGGUUCGAAUCCCCCCAGCUCCACCA
rnacentral:tmRNA from 1 species